UACGAGUGCCUCAAGCGUUAUCCGGAAUCAUUGGGCGUAAAGGAUGUGUAGGUUGUCAUAUUAGUCUUCUGUUAAAGCUCCCGGCUUAACCGGGAACCUGCAGAAGAAACGGUAUGGCUAGACGGUGCAAGGGGUCUACGGAACUCAUAGUGUAGCGGUGAAAUGCGUUGAUAUUAUGGGGAACACCAAAAGCGAAGGCAGUAGACUGGGGCACUCGUGACACUGAAACAUGAAAGCGUGGGUAGCGAAUGGG
rnacentral:rRNA from 1 species